rnacentral:rRNA from 1 species
AUUAGUGGCGCACGGGUGAGUAAUAUAUAGAUAACGUGCCUCUUAGUCUGGGAUAGCCAUUGGAAACGAUGAUUAAUACUAGAUACUCCUUCUCAUUCUAAUAUGAGUCGGGAAAGUUUUUCGCUAAGAGAUCGGUCUAUAUCCCAUCAGUUAGUUGGUAAGGUAACGGCUUACCAAGGCAAUGACGGGUAGCGGGUUUGAGAGGAUGAUCCGCCACACUGGUACUGAGACACGGACCAGACUCCUACGGGAGGCAGCAGUGAGGAAUAUUGCACAAUGGGGGAAACCCUGAUGCAGCAACGCCGCGUGGAGGAUGA